rnacentral:rRNA from 1 species
GAUGAACGCUAGCUACAGGCCUAACACAUGCAAGUCGAGGGGCAGCGGGAAGGAAGCUUGCUUUCUUCGCCGGCGACCGGCGCACGGGUGCGUAACGCGUAUCGAACCUACCCUUUACUCGGGAACAGCCUUGCGAAAGCAAGAUUAAUGCCCGAUGUUCCGCGUUUGCUGCAUGGCAAAUUCGGCAAAGAUUUAUUGGUAAAGGAUGGCGAUGCGUCCCAUUAGUUAGUUGGCGGGGUAACGGCCCACCAAGACGACGAUGGGUAGGGGUUCUGAGAGGAAGGUCCCCCACAUUGGAACUGAGACACGGUCCAAACUCCUACGGGAGGCAGCAGUGAGGAAUAUUGGUCAAUGGGCGGAAGCCUGAACCAGCCAAGUAGCGUGCAGGAAGACGGGCCCUAUGGGUUGUAAACCUCUUUUAUAAGGGAAUAAAAUACGGGACGCGUCCCAUAUUGCAGGUACCGCAUGAAUAAGGACCGGCUAAUUCCGUG